GAGAGUACAGUUCAGUGGUAGAGUGUGUGCUUAGCAUGCACGAGUUCAUGGGUUCAAUCCCCAGUACUUCCA
rnacentral:tRNA from 1 species